rnacentral:rRNA from 1 species
AGUGAACGCUGGCGGUAGGCCUAACACAUGCAAGUCGAACGGCAGCACAGUAAGAGCUUGCUCUUACGGGUGGCGAGUGGCGGACGGGUGAGGAAUACAUCGGAAUCUACUUUUUCGUGGGGGAUAACGUAGGGAAACUUACGCUAAUACCGCAUACGACCUACGGGUGAAAGCAGGGGAUCUUCGGACCUUGCGCGAUUGAAUGAGCCGAUGUCGGAUUAGCUAGUUGGCGGGGUAAAGGUCCACCAAGGCGACGAUCCGUAGCUGGUCUGAGAGGAUGAUCAGCCACACUGGAACUGAGACACGGUCCAGACUCCUACGGGAGGCAGCAGUGGGGAAUAUUGGACAAUGGGCGCAAGCCUGAUCCAGCCAUACCGCGUGGGUGAAGAAGGCCUUCGGGUUGUAAAGCCCUUUUGUUGGGUAAGAAAAGCAGCAGGUUAAUACCCCGCUGUUCUGACGGUACCCAAAGAAUAAGCACCGGCUAACUUCGUG